rnacentral:rRNA from 1 species
GAUGAACGCUGGCGGCGUGCCUAAUACAUGCAAGUCGAGCGAACGGACGAGAAGCUUGCUUCUCUGAUGUUAGCGGCGGACGGGUGAGUAACACGUGGAUAACCUACCUAUAAGACUGGGAUAACUUCGGGAAACCGGAGCUAAUACCGGAUAAUAUUUUGAACCGCAUGGUUCAAAAGUGAAAGACGGUCUUGCUGUCACUUAUAGAUGGAUCCGCGCUGCAUUAGCUAGUUGGUAAGGUAACGGCUUACCAAGGCAACGAUGCAUAGCCGACCUGAGAGGGUGAUCGGCCACACUGGAGCUGAGACACGGUCCAGACUCCUACGGGAGGCAGCAGUAGGGAAUCUUCCGCAAUGGGCGAAAGCCUGACGGAGCAACGCCGCGUGAGUGAUGAAGGUCUUCGGAUCGUAAAACUCUGUUAUUAGGGAAGAACAUAUGUGUAAGUAACUGUGCACAUCUUGACGGUACCUAAUCAGAAAGCCGCGGCUAACUACGUG